UAGUCCACGCUGUAAACGAUGGAUGCUAGUUGUGGGGGGAAUCGACCCCUUCUGUAACGAAGCUAACGCGAUAAGCAUCCCGCCUGGGGUGUACGGUCGCAAGAUUAAAACUCAAAGGAAUUGACGGGGACCCGCACAAGCGGUGGAGUGUGUUGUUUAAUUGGAUGAUAAGCCUAGAACCUUACCCAGACUUGACAUCCCGGAUAGUUUUUCGAAAGUAAAAUGUGCCUUUUAGGAAUCCGGUGACAGGUGCUGCAUGGCCGUCGUCAGCUCGUGUCGUGAGAUGUUAGGUUAAGUCCUUCAACGAGCGCAACCCUUAUGAUUAGUUGAAUUUUUCUAGUCAGACUGCCUCGGUAACGGGGAGGAAGGAGGGGAUGAUGUCAAGGUCCGUAUUGCCCUUACGUCUGGGGCUACAAACGCGCUACAAUGGCUGGUACAAUGGGCAGCGAAAUCGCGAGAUGGAGCAAAUCUCAUCAAAGCCAGUCCCAGUUCGGAUUGAAGGCUGAAACUCGCCUUCA
rnacentral:rRNA from 1 species